rnacentral:misc_RNA from 1 species
GGAAGCAGGCGCCCAGUCGCCCUUCUCUCCCUUAAACCAUGUGGUCCUAUGCCAUGCCUCGGGGGGGUCAAGCGGCCUAGGCCGAGGGGUCCUUUGCGGCCCGCCCCCCCGCGUCUGUCGUGCCUCGGACGAGUCCGCUCGUCCGGGCCGGCAUGCUUCAGUCUUGGAGUGAUGAUUGUGUCUGAUCAGUCCAGUGGACAGAAUUAUUA